UAACCAUGUUGUGUACAUGAAUUUAUGAGAUCUUUAAAUCGCUCUCAACAUUAGAAGAAGGUCUCAUCAUCUUUUUACGCAAAAUUCAUGAUUUCUUUAUUUAAGGUA